rnacentral:rRNA from 1 species
GAUGAACGCUAGCUACAGGCUUAACACAUGCAAGUCGAGGGGAAACGGCAUUGAGUGCUUGCACUCUUUGGACGUCGACCGGCGCACGGGUGAGUAACGCGUAUCCAACCUUCCCAUUACUGUGGGAUAACCUGCCGAAAGGCAGACUAAUACCGCAUGGUCUUCGAUGACGGCAUCAGAUUUGAAGUAAAGAUUUAUCGGUAAUGGAUGGGGAUGCGUCUGAUUAGCUUGUUGGCGGGGUAACGGCCCACCAAGGCAACGAUCAGUAGGGGUUCUGAGAGGAAGGUCCCCCACAUUGGAACUGAGACACGGUCCAAACUCCUACGGGAGGCAGCAGUGAGGAAUAUUGGUCAAUGGACGGAAGUCUGAACCAGCCAAGUAGCGUGCAGGAUGACGGCCCUAUGGGUUGUAAACUGCUUUUGUAUGGGGAUAAAGUUAGGGACGUGUCCCUAUUUGCAGGUACCAUACGAAUAAGGACCGGCUAAUUCCGUGCCAGCAGCCGCGGUAAUACGGAAGGUCCAGGCGUUAUCCGGAUUUAUUGGGUUUAAAGGGAGCGUAGGCUGGAGAUUAAGUGUGUUGUGAAAUGUAGACGCUCAACGUCUGAAUUGCAGCGCAUACUGGUUUCCCUGAGUACGCACAACGUUGGCGGAAUUCGUCGUGUAGCGGUGAAAUGCUUAGAUAUGACGAAGAACUCCGAUUGCGAAGGCAGCUGACGGGAGCGCAACUGACGCUUAAGCUCGAAGGUGCGGGUAUCAAACAGG